rnacentral:rRNA from 1 species
UACGAAGGGGGCUAGCGUUGUCGGAUUACUGGGCGUAAAGCGCACGUAGGCGGUUUGUUAAGUCAGGGGUGAAAUCCCACAGCUCAACUGUGGAACUGCCUUUGAUACUGGCAAGCUAGAGUCCGGAAGAGGUAAGUGGAACUCCUAGUGUAGAGGUGGAAUUCGUAGAUAUUAGGAAGAACACAGUGGCGAAGGCGGCUUACUGGUCCGGAACUGACGCUGGAGGUGCGAAAGCGUGGGGGAGCAAACAGGA